CACGUUUGCUGGCGCUCAUAGUUUUUCAAAGAAAACAACAGUUUCUGCGAAUUAUAACUGCUCCACUUCAAGCAAGAUUGCUGGUUUUCUUGAACAAGCAACGCUACAAACUCAUUGAGAUAAUCAGAAACAAGGGAGGACUUGUCAGAGAGAAUACCAGAGAUAUAAUCUUCAUUUUCAAGUUCUUGAUCUGAUCCUGGAGGUGAAUGUAUGAGAGUAUCUCCUGAAAUGUCUUAUGGUGUAUUUAGUGGAAGAUGUGGACCAACUGAUUAAGCACUGGUUGUUCAGAAAGAUGACGCUCAGGCAGAAAUAACCCUGUUUGUCCUCAGGUAGAAAGAGGACUGUCUUCAACCACUACAUGAAAUCGGGAUUGUGACUUACUGAGUUUCCAUCAGUCACACAUGAAUGUUCCAUGUUGUUUGGCCUCAUCUAUGCGCUAAACUUGAGCUAUCUUGGUAAACUCAAACACACAUUUGUGGCCCUGUAGAAAAUAUUUAGGAAACGUAUAGCUUAUUGACAGUAAAAUAUAAAAUUUUGGUCACUUUAUUUGUUAAACAGUUGUCAGAUUUUACAUGGUUGGUAAAUAGGUUUAUACAGUUCUUAAAAU